GACGAACGCUGGCGGCGUGCCUAAUACAUGCAAGUAGAACGCUGAAGGAGGAGCUUGCUCUUCUGGAUGAGUUGCGAACGGGUGAGUAACGCGUAGGUAACCUGCCUGGUAGCGGGGGAUAACUAUUGGAAACGAUAGCUAAUACCGCAUAAGAGUAGAUGUUGCAUGACAUUUGCUUAAAAGGUGCAAUUGCAUCACUACCAGAUGGACCUGCGUUGUAUUAGCUAGUUGGCGGGGUAACGGCUCACCAAGGCGACGAUACAUAGCCGACCUGAGAGGGUGAUCGGCCACACUGGGACUGAGACACGGCCCAGACUCCUACGGGAGGCAGCAGUAGGGAAUCUUCGGCAAUGGACGGAAGUCUGACCGAGCAACGCCGCGUGAGUGAAGAAGGUUUUCGGAUCGUAAAGCUCUGUUGUAAGAGAAGAACGAGUGUGAGAGUGGAAAGUUCACACUGUGACGGUAUCUUACCAGAAAGGGACGGCUAACUACGUG
rnacentral:rRNA from 1 species